AAGCCAGUCGAAGAUACCAGCUGGCUGCAACUGUUUAUUAAAAACACAGCACUGUGCAAACACGAAAGUGGACGUAUACGGUGUGACGCCUGCCCGGUGCUGGAAGGUUAAUUGAUGGGGUCAGCCGUAAGGCGAAGCUCCUGAUCGAAGCCCCAGUAAACGGCGGCCGUAACUAUAACGGUCCUAAGGUAGCGAAAUUCCUUGUCGGGUAAGUUCCGACCUGCACGAAUGGCGUAAUGAUGGCCAGGCUGUCUC
rnacentral:rRNA from 2 species